rnacentral:rRNA from 1 species
UACGUAGGGUGCAAGCGUUGUCCGGAAUUAUUGGGCGUAAAGAGCUUGUAGGCGGUUUGUCGCGUCUGCUGUGAAAUUUCGGGGCUCAACCCCGAACUUGCAGUGGGUACGGGCAGACUAGAGUGUGGUAGGGGAGAAUGGAAUUCCCGGUGUAGCGGUGAAAUGCGCAGAUAUCGGGAGGAACACCGGUGGCGAAGGCGGUUCUCUGGGCCUUACCUGACACUGAGGAGCGAAAGCGUGGGGAGCGAACAGG